GGAGAGAUGGCUGAGCUGGUCUAAGGCGCACGAUUGGAAAUCGUGUGUACGGCACAAACCGUACCGAGGGUUCGAAUCCCUCUCUCUCCGCCA
rnacentral:tRNA from 1 species